UGCGUCUUUAAACUCCGUGAACGGACCCAACGGAACGGUGAACAGAAAACGGAAGCCAUGGCGGCGGCUUAAGAGAGAGAGAGAGGGAGAGGAGGAGGAAGAGGAAGAGGAAGUGGCGGCGCAUGUGUACAUGUGACCGACAGCGGUCGGAGAAGGCCUACGGCGCCAUCGUUCACAUCAACCGCUUCUUCAAGGACGGCAUCUGCCACAGCGCCAUCCAGGUAAUGUUGCUGCUCGUACACAGCGAACAUGGUAUAGAAAUCUCUCCAAAAACACAGGCAUGAGGCCAUCCACCAGCAAUUCAAGCCUCCCUGAGAAUUCUGAGGAUGAAUAACCCAAAGAUGAACACAUCAGCAGCAGCAACAGCAGAGAAAAUUUUCAUCCGUGCAACUCAACCUCAAGGAAAAGUGAAUUAAUUUUAUUGUAACAUUUCAGAAUAAUUAUGUGGCAUUACUUUCCACCUCUGAUCAUUUACACUAAUGGCUCCAGUGAAAAAUGGUUCUUCAACAAGGUCAUUUACUGAGAAAUGUGGUAUGGCACUAAGUAGCAUGGAUGUAAUUAGUGCGUUUGAAUAGCUGCUUUUGGACUUCACCUGUCCUCUCCUUGGUAUAAGCCAACCCCACAUGUGAUCUUGGACCACUGAAAGUAUUGCUAAGGACAUCACCAUAAUUACUAACUGCCAGAUUGAAGUUAUGAUGAGGGUUUUAGGUCAUUGAUGGUUUCAGAAGCCUAGACUUUCUAUUCUAUCAUCAUGCUUAUAUAGAUCAUUUAACAGGAUCCUGCUAAAAUGUGAGCUAGGUUGGUCUAUCAAGGAGUAACAGUUCUUUGGUACUGGUUUUCUGGUGGGGAGACAUGUCAUUAAAAACUCUCAUAAUGCUGAAAAAGAUGCAUACCAUUUACUUUCUGCUGAUGUUCUCGAUUUUGUCUAUCAUAAGAGGUUAUGCUUCACCUGGUUGGUAGAGGAGGUACAUUAUAGAUUGUUUACGAACAUAUAAUGACUUUCUGGUUUCUUCGAUUGCGUUGCCAAUUGUGAGGUUGUGUUUUCAUCAGUGAAGUCAAUUCAACCUCCACUGCUAGCUUGCUAGUGCUUCACAGUUCAGAGGCACUCCAAGAUUUAGUUCAUGGCACAAAAAUUCAGAGAACAAACAGAAUGCAGCCCCAAGCACAAGAUCUGAUCACGGGUUUCAUGUAAAACUCUUUAUCAUUGAUCAUUUACAUCACCAACAUGACAAAAAGCAAAUGCCAAAAGAAAGGUGUCUACCUAGAAGAGUUACACACAGAACCCAUCAUUUGUGAUGUGGAAGUUGAGGUAAGGCCCUGAGAAGCAUCGAGGUGAUGGAGUGCAGUGCAGUGGCUGCUAUUCUACUCUUUAUUUGUCCUCGCCGUGGUAUAAGUCGCCUUCCUCCUGACCUCCUAUUCACUGAAGCAGUGGCAAGAAAAGCAGUAAAUAUCUUGCUCAUGGUGAGAAAUGCUGGCAAGCAGCGCUGCAGGCUUUCAGACUUUGGUGGUUUUUGGGACUCUCUGUAUGCUGUCAUCUUCAGUUUCAAGCUAUAUAUAGGGAUCAUACAGUACAACCAGGAUCUUUUAAAAUAUCUGCAAGGCUGGAUACUGGUGGUGAGACAUGCCAGCAAAAUUUCUCCUAUUUCUAAUUCAAUUUGGCUCUGAUUCCAUACAGAAGGAUAACUCUGAUCUGUUGUGGCUUCUUCCAUUAGUUCAAAUAUGACAGAUGACAUUCAUGUGUUCAUAAUUCAGAAAGGUUGGGUCUGCUUGUAUUCUGUUGGCAACUCCUGGUUUUAUUCAUGGAUCAGUCGAAGCUGGACUUCGAAAGUGAUUAGGUUUGCCUCUGUCUGCAACUACUGCCACUAACAGGAGGCUAUGGAUACCCAUGGAACAAGGUUUUCUAGAGCAGAACAUAUGAUAUUUUAUUCUUGCAAUGAGGCUUCCAGUUUCUGUAGCUCCUUGAGAUCAUAAAGAAGUAGAUUUCUGUCUCCCUACCUUAAAUUAAUAAUUAAUUAUAAAGCCUUGACUUCUGCAAGCCUAUGGCUUUAAAGAAAUAUGAACAAGAUGGAGAGGCUGUAAUGGAUGGAACUCUCUUCUGAGGAUCUUCCAACAUGUCACAUGCAAAUGAACUCGAACUCUGCUGAGAAACAAAGAAGUAAAGAAUGAUUGAUAUUAUGCUUCAAAACAACAGGCAGUUGAAAGUUUCAAGCCCAAUGGUGCAUGCACAGAGCCUACAUUAUGAUUGGAAUGAGAAGCGACCAUGAAGCAUCUCGCUUCGGAACUGGUGAUGCAUAUAUAACCACAACCAGGACUACUCCUCAGAGCAACUGGAUCAACUCUCUACAAUGGCGAAUGUGGGCAAUGACUCGAAUGCAGAGUCUCUUCUUGGAGAGGGAAGGUCACCCAAUUGCCACAAGCAUCAGUUAAACAAGUGGGGCUUGAUGGGAUCAUCAAUCAUACAACGGAUGUUCAGCAUUGUCCCCAGCAUCCCUUCAUCAGCAAGGAAGAAGAAGAAAAAGUCUUUCUGCAGACUCAUCUCAUGCUGAUGUUUCCAGUUGGUUUAUUGGAUAAUUGGUGAUCAAAUUCCUCAUUGGAGGAUCAACUUGAAUUCUUAUUCGUGUUGAGAGGUCCUUCUUGUAGCUCACCUGUUUUGUGUCGUCUUUUGUGGUCAGUUUGCUAUCUCAGCUGUGUUCUACAGAACCAGAUCAGUUCAGUUCCAUAUAACAAUUCCAAGAAAAAUAAUCGGCAUUUGAUCUAGUAAAUUCAGAUAUGGUUGC